AUUUCAUGUUAUCAGUUGUUGUUGUUUUUUUACUAAGAGUAAAAUAAUGUUUGUUUUUUGUUUUUGUAGAUGUUAAAAGCCAGAGACAUGGGAGAGCAUCAUUCUUUUGAGAUUUUAUAACUCAAACCAACUUUGGAGUUGUCUUGUCUGAUUUGGAGAGUCAUCAUUCUUGGUCUUCCUUCUUAAAGGCCACUGAUGAAGAGCAGGCGGUGACUGAGAUGAAUGCUGGUCAAAGAAGAGAACAUCCUUUCCCCUAAACUGAUGCAGCAGUGGUUUUAAAGGAAGACCCUGCCCUGGAUGAUGUAGAAGAUAU